CCUACGGGAGGCAGCAGUGAGGAAUAUUGGUCAAUGGGCGCGAGUCUGAACCAGCCAAGUAGCGUGAAGGAUGACUGCCCUACGGGUUGUAAACUUCUUUUAUAAAGGAAAAAAGAGAGGCAGGUGCGCCUGUUUGAAUGUAGUUUAUGAAUAUGGAUCGGCUAACUGCGUUCCAGCAGCCGCGGUAAUACGGAGGAGGCGAGCGUUAUCCGGUUUGAUUGGGUUUAAAGGGAGCGUAGUUGGGUUGUUAAGUUAGUUGAGAAAGUUUGCGGCUCAACCGUAAAAUUGCAAUUGAUACUGGUGGCCUUGAGUACAGUUGGGGUAGGCGGAAUUCGUGGUGUAGCGGUGGAAUGCUUAGAUAUCACGAAGAACUCCGAUUGCGAAGGCAGGUUACUAAACUGCCACUGACAUUGAUGCUCGAAAGUGUGGGUAUCAAACAGGAUUAGAUACCCUUGUAGUC
rnacentral:rRNA from 1 species